rnacentral:rRNA from 1 species
GGGUCAGUAGGUUGGUCGUGCCACCGGUACGUACUGGUCUCACUGAUUCCUCCUUCCUGAAGAACCGUAAUGCCAUUAAUUUGGUGUUGCGGGGAAGCAUGACUGUUACUUUGAAAAAAUUAGAGUGUUUAAAGCAAGCUAACGCUUGAAUACAUUAGCAUGGAAUAAUGAAAUAGGACGAUCGAUCCUAUUUUGUUGGUUUCUAGGAUUGACGUA